rnacentral:rRNA from 1 species
GGGCGGGGCGGGGGCACGGGGGGAGGAAAGNAGGGGAUCGCAAGACCUUGCGCUUUUGGAGCGGCCGAUGUCUGAUUAGCUAGUUGGUGAGGUAAAGGCUUACCAAGGCUUCGAUCAGUAGCUGGUCUGAGAGGACGACCAGCCACACUGGGACUGAGACACGGCCCAGACUCCUACGGGAGGCAGCAGUGGGGAAUUUUGGACAAUGGGGGAAACCCUGAUCCAGCCAUGCCGCGUGAGUGAAGAAGGCCUUCGGGUUGUAAAGCUCUUUCAGCCGGAACGAAACGGUCACGGCUAAUACCCGUGAUCACUGACGGUACCGGAAGAAGAAGCACCGGCUAACUACGUGCCAGCAGCCGCGGUAAUACGUAGGGUGCGAGCGUUAAUCGGAAUUACUGGGCGUAAAGCGUGCGCAGGCGGUUUUG